AGGGUAAAUGGUGGAUGCCUUGACAUCAAGAAGCGAUGAAGGACGUGAAAAAGCUGCGUUAAGCUUCGGGGAGCUGCUAAUUAAGCGUUGAUCCGGAGAUGUCCGAAUGGGGAAACCCACUAGAGGUAAUGCUCUAGGACCCUAAUAUAGGGAGCGAACUCGGGGAAGUGAAACAUCUCAGUACCCGGAGGAAAAGAAAACGAAUGUGAUUUCCUUAGUAGCGGCGAGCGAAACGGAAGAAGCCCAAACCGCAGCUAUAUGCUAGCGGGGUUGUAGGAUAGAACAUUCCGUAAGGAGAAUGUAUAGUAUUUGUUAGAUGAAUAAGCUGGAAAGCUUAGCCAAAGAACGUGAUAGCCGUGUAAUUGAAAAUAAGUACUAUAUAUUGGUUCUACUCCUGAGUAGGUCGGGAAAUGAUAGCCCUGACUGAAGCUACCAGCACUAACCUGGUAAGGCUAAAUAUUACUUGAUGUCGAUAGUGAACUAGUACCGUGAGGGAAAGGUGAAAAGCAGUCCGAGAGGACGAUGAAAUAAUCCUGAAACCAUUUACUUACAAGGAGUCGGAGCCCGCAAGGGUGACGGCGUGCCUAUUGAAGAAUGAUCCAACGAGUUACGCCUCAUCAGCAUGCUUAAGUCUGCAAAGGACGAAGGCACAGAGAAAUCGAGUCUUAACGGGCGAAUUGUUGAUGGGGGUAGACCCGAAACCAAGCGAGCUAUUUAUGGCCAGGGUGAACAUUAGGUAACACUAAUGGGAGGCCCGAACACACGAGUCGUGCAAUUCUCGGUGAUGAGCUGUGAAUAGAGGAGAAAUUCCAAUCGAGCUUGGUAAUAGCUGGUUCUCUCCGAAACAGGUCUCGGCCUGGCGUUAAUUGUUUCAUAAUGGGGGUAGAGCACUGAAUGGAUCUGGGGCCUUCGGGUACCCAAUCUAACCAAACUCCGAAUACCAUUAUGUUAAGAUUAGCAGUUAGAAUGUGGGGGCUAAGCUCCAUGUUCAAAAGGGAAACAGCCCAGAUCGUCAAUUAAGGUCCCUAAACUAUACUCAGUGGGAAAGGUUGUGUACUUUCUGAGACAGGUAGUAAGUUGGCUUAGAAGCAGCCAUCUUUUAAAGAGUGCGUAAUAGCUCACUACUCUAUUCCUCCUUAGGGUGGAUAGGAAAGUAUGCGCCGAAAAUGUAACGGGGCUCAAGUAUAGUACCGAAAUUACGAAUUGUAUAGCAAUAUACAGUGGUAGGAGAGCGUUCUAUAUGUGCUGAAGGUUGACCCGUGAGGGCAGCUGGAACGUAUAGAAGUGAGAAUGUUGGAAUAAGUAACCGCAAGUUCAGUUAGAUUCUGAGCCACCGAAAUUCUAAGGUUUCCUCCGCAAUGAUAAUCAUCGGGGGGUUAGUCGGGCCUAAGGUAAACUUCGUAAACGGAGGUAGCCGAUGGACAACAGGUUAAUAUUCCUGUACCGGCAGUAGCUAGUAAAUGUGGGGACGCAUCAUGGUAUUUUACACGUCUUAAUGGAUUGAGACGUUUGUGUUUCUGUAGGGUUGAGAGAGAGGCAAAUCCUUUCUUUCGUGAAGACUCGAAAAACGCAUGCAGAGAGUUCGCGAGAACACUCAAUGUAAAAGACCCAAGGUGACAAGAAAAGCCACUAUGCGUAUCUUCGGAUACGAUCUACUGUCGACCGUACCGCAAUCCGACACAGGUAGAUAGGUCGAGAAGACCAAGGUGAACGGGUGAAAGUUGGUUAAGGAACUCGGCAAAACAGCGACCGUAACUUCGGGAUAAGGUCUGCCUACAGUGAUGUAGGCCGCAGCUAAAGAUCCCAAGCGACUGUUUAUCAAAAACACAGCUCUCUGCUAACUCCACAAGGAGGAUGUAUAGGGGGUGACUCCUGACCAGUGCUGGAACGUUAACGGCGGCAGUGAAAGCUGACUGCCCGAAGCGCCAGUGAACGUCGGCGAUAACUAUAAUCGUCCUAAGGUAGCGAAAUUCCUUGUCUGGUAAGUUCAGACGCGCAUGAAUGGAGUAACGACUUGGGAACUGUCUCAACCAACCGCCCGGUGAAAUUGCAAUAACGGUAAAGAUGCCGUUUACCUACAGAAAGACGAGAAGACCCCGUGGAGCUUUACUACAGCUUGGUAUUGUAUUGUUGUUUAUUUUGCUCAGCAUAGGUGGGAGACUUUGAGCACAUGUCGCUAGAUGUGUGUGAGUCGCCAGUGAGAUACCACCCUUGAUUUAUGAGAAUACUAACCUCGUACUAAUCCUACGAGAGACAGUGCCUGGUGGGUAGUUUGAGUGGGGCGCUCACCUCCUAAAGAGUAACGGAGGUGUUUAUAAGGUUAGCUAGUCCGAUAUGGAAAUUCGGAUGAUAGUGCAAAGGCAUAAGCUAGCUUUACUGCAAGACGUAUAUGUCGCGCUGCAAGAGAUUUUCUUGCACUUAUAUCACAUAAAUUUUCGAAUGGAGUGAUAUUCGAGUUACGAAAGUAGAACUUAGUGAACCGACCAUCCUUUGUAGAAAGGUGGGAGAUCAGCAGAUAAAAGUUACCCCGGGGAUAACAGGCUAGUCUGGCCCAAGCGUCCACAGCGACGGCCAGGUUCGGCACCUCGAUGUCGGCUCGUCUCAUCCUGGGGCUGGAGAAGGUCCCAAGGGUUUGGCUGUUCGCCAAUUAAAGAGGCACGCGAGCUGGGUUCAAACCGUCGUGAGACAGGUUGGUCUCUAUCUUCUGUAGGCGUUGUUACUUGAGAGAAUCUGCCCCUAGUACGAGAGGACCGGGGUGGACAAACCUCUGGUGUACCAGCUGUCGUACCAACGGCACUGCUGGGUAGCUAAGUUUGGUCUGGAUAACCGCUGAAAGCAUCUAAGCGGGAAGCCGUACUCAAGAUUAGGUAACUCAUGCGAUCCUGGAAGACCACCAGGUUGAUAGGUCACAGAUGUAAGCGCAGUAAUGUGUUAAGUCGAGUGAUACUAAUAUCGCUAAAACUCGUCUUU
rnacentral:rRNA from 1 species